GCGUGUCAGUCUUCUUUCUACUCAUUGGAAGGUAUAAUAGCUGCCCCCCCAUGGGGGCUUCACAGCGAACCUCGCACGUGAGCCAUCGGAUCUUUACUUCAGUGUAUCUCAGCCGUCCAGUUUUUUCACCGCAUCAUACUAUAAAAGAGACAUCCCACGGUGAAAACCCUAGAGGCUUCUCCCCACUCACCCAAUCCCAGCCGCCACGCCCAAUCCCCAUGCGUCCUCCUCCCCCGUGCCCGGCGGCGCUGCUCCACCUCCCUGGCCGCCACCCACCUUCUCCUCCUAGCCCCGUGUCCUCACCUCGUCGGCCGGCCUCCUCCAUGGAGCUCGAGCUUUCGUGGUGCUCUGCUGGCUGCCGUCAACGAGCUCUUCCUGCCGCUGCCGUGUGCCGUGUCUCCUCACCUCCGGCGUGCCUCCUCCCUAGGCUCAGCUGGAGGGAGGACGACGCGCGUCUCUCCUCUUCCCGGCCGCUGCGCGCCUCUCCUCCUCCUCUCCUCCGGCCUGCUUCUUCCUUGGGCUCAGCAGGUGGAGCACGCUGCAGUAGGAGGAGCAGGAGACGCCACCAGGGGCGCUUCCUCAGCGGGGUGGAGCGCGGAUCGUCCGGUCCUCAGGCCGGCGAGGCGGAUGCUGCGGCGCCAUCGUCUUCAGCGGAGAGGAGCUCGAUCCGCCGCUAGGCCGCCGCCAAGCCGCAGCAGAGGAAGAGCCGCCGCUGCACCACGGGAGAGGUCGGCGCAGAUUGUGUGCAAAGAAUUAGACCUGCAAUGUUGUUAUAGCGGUGAUUGAUCACCUGAAGCUUUUGUACAUCAGACAGACGAUGGACCUAUGGCUUGCACAUUUUGUUUUGACAAAUUGUUGAGGCAUUAAGCAAUGCAUAUUUUAUCCAUGAUUACUCUGAGCCGCCGAAGCUCACCAAGUUUAAUGAGAGGUGAUGGAGCGCUGAACGCGGAGAUGCGCAUGCGGAGAGGUGAUGGAGCAGUGAACAAACAACUAACACAAAAUGAAAUUGAGUCAUGGUUGGGGCGAGAUUGGGCACUGAAUUUUCUACUGGCGGAACAAUUUCAAGAUGCUAAAUGUUUGGUUCUUAUAAUAUCCGAUGACUUGCGCUGGUUGGUGUCGCUCUUUCAUUAUUAGGUCUUUUAUUGAAAGUGCAGCAGCUCGUAUAAGUCUCCAAAUUUUAGAAGUGUUCAAGUUCUUAUGAUCUUAUUCACCAAAACUGCUUGACAUGGCGGCUAUUUGCAGAUGCUCUUCAGCAUUAAUUUUGCACCCUAAGUCUGAUACCUACUUUGCAUCCCUCCCGCAUGUACGCGUGUUCAUUGAAGAAAAUGUGUAUGUUCGUGUACCGUUCAAGCGGUUAAAUAGUAGUCCAUUCAUAUUGCACUUUACCUAGGACUAUUCCUUAAUAAGGUAAGCUUACAACAAGGAUGAUAAAAAGAUGUCACGUUAUUCCUAUGUCUAUUCUGGGAAGUUAUAAUUAUCUUGAGCAGCUAAAAUCAACUAGCAUAGUUAUCUGAAUUCUGUUUAUAUGAUGUUACACGUUCCCCAAGUAAGUAGUAGUGCAUGUUUUGUGUUUGCACCUAUAGGGCUAUACUUUAGUACUGCUUGGCUUAUGUGCUAUUCAGGUUGUACUAUCGUACUAUGCAGAAAAUUAAAAUGUUCUUGCUAUGUAUUAGUUAAUUUACCGCGUCUACGAUUAGGAUACCUCAAAUAGUUUAUAAGCUCGCAGAUAAAGCAUUUGUUUGUUGGUUUAUUUCUUUCUACCAUGUUUAAAAAAUAGGAGGGUAAUUUUCCACCAGCUUUUCCUUUGCUCUGCAACAAACUGUGAAGGUCUAUAUUUAAGUUGUAUCCAUGGCCUGAGCAAGUUGCUCCUGUAAUGUUCAGUUUUUUCUACUGCUAUAUAUAUAUAUAAAGGAAUCAUCUUAUUCUUUUUGGUAUUCAUUUGCAUCCAAAUAGCAAUUUGUUUUUUUUUUGUUUUAGUGGAGUGGUUAGUAGUUACUGUGUUCUUCUUGCAGUCUAUAGGGCAUUUACACUAUGGUUGCUGUUUCUUUUCAGUUUGGCUUAUCGAUCUUCGUCUCGCAUGGUCUCAAGUAUUAUCCUUCUUGAUGUGUCUGAAAAAUGCAGUCUUAAUGUGAGGGGAUGUCAUGCUAUCCGGGCCAUUGCAGAACUAGGCUAUUUUGCUAGUGCCUUAAAGAGAAGGGAGUGUUCAUUAUGCACCAACAAAUGCAGCAACCUCGAGUUUUUGGAAGCCUAGUGUCAAAUUAAAAGUCAUAGGAAUCAGAUCUGGAUUCAGAAGAUGCCCUGCAUCCUUGAUAUUUUAUAUUUGAAUGCUUCACCCGGAAGCUUCUUCUUAGAGUAAGUAAUUUUCAACAAUAUGGAUUACAAAGCUUGUGGAGUCACAUCAACUUAUUAGGAUACAUAUGCUCAUAUCCAUGAAUUUAAAGCUAAUUAAAGAGUUUCGGAUUCUGAGAAGAAACUGGCUAGACAAAAUAUUUAUUCUCAGAGGUGAUAAAUUGCAGGUGACGACAUAGAUUUUAUUUAAUUUUUAUCAUGUCGCCCUUAUGUGCAGGCCUUUCUCUUCAGUGAUUUUCUUACAUCAAAGAUUUAUUUCCACUGUUGCUGAAGGUUCUCUCCUCAAGUUCAACGUGGCACGUUUGGUCUCACCAUCAGCAAUUCAGCUUUGCAUUAUAAGUUAAUAGCCUCAUGGUAAAAAAUCAAUGAUGUAGCCAGUGCCAGCCUGGUGAACACUGAAAAAUAUAUCAUCUACUUUGCUUUCAUAUGUUGUAGCAUUGCAGGAUGUGUUUUGAUGUUCACGUGUGGUUUCUGUUUGAUCAGAAAAAAAAAAUAGACAACAAGGCAUGUAUGUUGUUGCGGUAUAGUUCAGCAAAGAGGGUUUGAGAAGAGAAAAUUGCUGGUUGUUGUGGUGUCGCUUUCACAGUUGCCCGUUUAUCCUUUAAUUUUGCAACAUUCCAUUUUGUAUUAUUUUAAGUUGGUACAUCAGUGAUCUAGCCCAUGUAACAUUACUUAAUACAAUAUUUUACAAACUUUUU